GUGGAAGAGUGGCGAACGGGUGAGGAACACGUAAGAAUCUGCCCCUCGGUCGGGGACAACUUUUGGAAACGAAAGCUAAUACCCGAUACGCUGUGGAGUGAAAGAAUUUCGCCGAGGGAUGAUCUUGCGUCUGAUUAGCUAGUUGGUGCGGUAAUGGCGCACCAAGGCGACGAUCAGUAGCUGGUCUGAGAGGAUGAACAGCCACAUUGGAACUGAGACACGGUCCAAACUCC
rnacentral:rRNA from 1 species